rnacentral:lncRNA from 1 species
GGAAAAAUAAGUUCUAUUUUUUUUUGGUAUAAAUAAAAGUAUUUAACCUUAAAGUGGUAAGUUUGAAUAUACUUAUUUUUUAAAUUCUUAAAUAGUUUCUUAAUCAUUUUAAUGUUCCAGGAAGAAGUCAACUAUUAAAAAAAUACUUCAGGGCUGGGAUGUAGCUCAGAGCUAGAGUAUUUGUCUUGCUUCUGAAAAGCUCUGUGUUUGAUCCCUGGCACUGCAAAAGAGAAAAAAGAAAGAAAAUAGUUUGAAACCUUGUUAGGGCUGGACACAGUGGCACACAUCUGUAAUCUCCUGAGGCAGGAGUGAUCCUGGGGAGACAGCCCGGUGAGCAGGCAGGUAUGGUACACACAGGAUGCUGGGAGCUCAGUCCACCAUCUGGAGAUCAAGAGCAGUGCAGAGGCCAGAAUGAUAAAGAGGUAGUUGGCUUAUGAUUUCUUCAAAAUGGUCACAACAUAAAGCCAUCAAUAAAGGGUUUUGUGCCAGGCGUGAUUGGGCUCACCUGUCAUCUCAGUGGCUCAGGAGGAUGAGGCAGGAGAAUCAUAAAUUCAAACCUGCCUCAGCAAUUUAUCGAGGACCUAGGCAACUCAGCGAUACCCCAUCUCUAAAUAAAAUAUUAAAAAGGGCUGGGGAUGUGGCUCAGUGGUUAAGUGGUUCAGUGGCUGAAUCUCUGGUACUAAAAAUAAAAGUAAAUAAUAACGUAAAAUAAAAGUAAAACCGUGUUAGUCAUGGUGCUGUGUGUCUAUAGAUCCAACUACUCAGAAGGCAGAGGCAGGAGGAUCACUUGAGCCCAGGAGUUUGGGGCCAACCUAGGUAACAUAUCAAACCCUAUCUCAAUACAAUAAAAAAGUAAAGAACAGCUGGGCGAAGUGGCACAUGCCCGUAAUCCCAGCAGCUCAGGAGGCUGAGGCAGGAGGAUCACAAGUUCAAAGCCAGCCCCAGCAACUUGGCAAGACCUUAAGUAACUCAGCAAAAAACCCUGUCUCAAAAUAAAAAAGGGCUGCGGAUGUGGCUCAGUUAUUAAGCACCUCUAGGUUCAAUCCCUGGUACCAAAAUACAUAAGUAAAAUUAAAAAACUCCAAACAAACAAAUAAAAAAAUAUUUAUUGGGCUGGGGAUGUGGCUCAAGCAGUAGCGGGCUCGCCUGGCAUGCGUGCGGCCCGGG